AGAGUUUGAUCAUGGCUCACAUUGAACGCUGGCGGAAUGCUUUACACAUGCAAGUCGAACGGUAGCAGGUCUUCGGAUGCUGACGAGUGGCGAACGGGUGAGUAAUAUAUCGGAACGUGCCCAGUCGUGGGGGAUAACGUAGCGAAAGUUACGCUAAUACCGCAUACGAUCUACGGAUGAAAGCGGGGGAUCGCAAGACCUCGCGCGAUUGGAGCGGCCGAUAUCAGAUUAGGUAGUUGGUGGGGUAAAGGCUCACCAAGCCAACGAUCUGUAGCUGGUCUGAGAGGACGACCAGCCACACUGGAACUGAGACACGGUCCAGACUCCUACGGGAGGCAGCAGUGGGGAAUUUUGGACAAUGGACGCAAGUCUGAUCCAGCCAUUCCGCGUGCAGGAUGAAGGCCCUCGGGUUGUAAACCUCUUUCAGUAGGGAAGAAGCGAAAGUGACGGUACCUACAGAAGAAGCACCGGCUAACUAUGUGCCAGCAGCCGCGGUAAUACAUAGGGUGCAAGCGUUGUCCGGAAUUAUUGGGCGUAAAGAGCUCGUAGGUGGUUCGAUACGUCGGAUGUGAAAAUCAGGGGCUCAACCCCUGGCCUGCAUUCGAUACGGUCGAGCUAGAGUGUGGUAGGGGAGACUGGAAUUCCUGGUGUAGCGGUGGAAUGCGCAGAUAUCAGGAGGAACACCGAUGGCGAAGGCAGGUCUCUGGGCCAUUACUGACACUGAGGAGCGAAAGCGUGGGGAGCGAACAGGAUUAGAUACCCUGGUAGUCCACGCCGUAAACGGUGGGCGCUAGUUGUGCGAACCUUCCACGGUUUGUGCGACGCAGCUAACGCAUUAAGCGCCCCGCCUGGGGAGUACGAUCGCAAGAUUAAAACUCAAAUGAAUUGACG
rnacentral:rRNA from 1 species